rnacentral:rRNA from 1 species
GCUUGUCUCAAAGAUUAAGCCAUGCAUGUCUCAGUAUAAGUUCCUGUACGGCGAAACUGCGAAUGGCUCAUUAAAACAGUUACAGUUUAUUUGAUGGUCGUUCCUUACAUGGAUAACUGUGGUAAUUCUAGAGCUAAUACAUGCACAAAAUCCCGACUUCACGGAAGGGAUGUAUUUAUUAGAUAAAAAACCAAUCCGGCAACGGUGCUUGGUGAUUCAUAAUAACUGUUCGAAGCGCACGGCCUCGCGCCGGCGCUAGUUCAUUCAAAUUUCUGCCCUAUCAGCUUUCGACGGUAGUGUAGUGGACUACCGUGGCGCUAACGGGUGACGGAGAAUUAGGGUUCGGUUCCGGAGAGGGAGCCUGAGAAACGGCUACCACAUCCAAGGAAGGCAGCAGG